rnacentral:lncRNA from 10 species
UGUUGUUUGUUGGGGUCUGAAAUUACUCAGAACACCUUGCAGUCACGUGGAACAGAAUAUAUUUUAUUUUAUUGUCUCCCAUUCCAACGGAGCUAACACUAGCCUUGUUUGUGUCAAGGAACCCAAACAUUAUCAUUCAAAGGCCGUAUUCACAAACGAAGUGGGAUGGCCAUAAAACUGAUGACCUUGCUGCUUCUGGAAUCUCAUAAAAAGUUUCCAAGCUGCUCCUCCCCAGAGCAAAUAAGGGCGUUGCAGUUGCUAGUCCCCUGGCAGGGUUCCAGCUGGGGCUAUUACAUUCCUCCCUCAUAAAUACAGACUUGUCGGCCUGACAGGGUGCUUAACUCUGGAGGUGCUGCUGUGUUUGGAGCAUUUAAACCCAGAGGCAGGGGCGACGCAGAAAAAAAAAAGGCAUCAGAGUUGUCGGGGAGCAGGCUUACUCUCGAGAUUCUCCCUGCUGACCUGAUGAAGUAAGCAGCCUUGUCGGGAAAGCCUACAUGGCAAGGAACUGCAAAUGGCCUCUAGGAACUGUGAGUGGCCUUUAGGAGCUGAAGUUGGCCUCCAAUCAGCAAGAAGCCAGGGCACUUAGUCCUACUGCAGCAAGGAAAUACAUUCUGCCAACCAUCUGAAUGAGCUUGGAAGUGGAUUCUUCCCAAGCCAAGCCUCCAUAUAAGAAUGCAGCCCACCUGACACAUUCAUAACAGCUGAGCAGAGGACCCAAUUAAACCGUGCCUGGACUCUUCAUCCACAGAAACUUCGAGAUAAUCAAUGCAUGUUGCGUUAAGCCAUGACGUUUGUGAUAAUUCGUUAUGCAGCAAUAAAUGACUAACACACUCCUUUACACAGCUCUAGUCAGCUUUUCUUUAUGUGCAGCCAAACUGAUACAUAGUUGGUGGAUACACAGAUGAUCAUCUAGGGAGACCUCCCAAAAUGGGAGGAACGGGAACUGAUGCUUAGAGAAGGUAGAAGAGCAGGGAUUGUCAGCAACUGAAGAGACAGCUGCAGUCUUAGACAUUUUUCUCCCAAGAGAAAAAUUGGGUAUUCUCAUUCAGAAGGCCUUUAGCUGCUAACUAUGUAGAUGCUCUCCAAAAUACCAUAAGUGAUUAAGAACUAGGAAAAAGAAAGUUUGUUUGAUAAACCUUUGGAGUAAGUCUUUCACUGAUUAAGGUAGGAGAGUAGCAGUUUCUUUUGAUAUUCAAGGCUCUUUGUAAGCAAUUGGCUGCCUUCCAUUCAAUUAUCAAGAUGU